GUAAUAAUUAAGUGAGCUCCUGUCCACAAAACACUUGUCCCGGGCUUGCCAUGUCGUCGGAACAAAAUAAACGGUGACUAUUAUUCUUAACCCUACUGUGGUAAUUACAGCUGCAAAGCCUCAUUUCAGACGUAACAAUUACUUUGUCAAAUAAAAAGAUUUUAAAUGUUAACACAGGUUCGCCACAUAAUCAGAGACUGAGUUCGCGGUUUACAGCUGAUGCUCCACUUCUCCACCGUGAAAUGCUUGGGAAUUCGCCCCCACUACAAAGUGCAGGAACUUAGAGGUGCUUUGCUGAAUCAAAGGGAAGAAAUCGACCCGGAGAGACCACGUGGCCCAUCCCCUGGCUUCAGGCUAAACUGUCUUAACCCUCUGAGAGCAAUGAUUCUCUCUCCACUUUCCAAGACUUCCAGAAAUGAAGCCCGAGUAACCUGCCACAGUAACACACCUGAGCAGCCCUGCCAGAAAGUACUUGUUUCAUGUUUAACCUUAAUCUCUCGUGAGACACUCAGAACCCUUUUUCUUUCCUUCUGUUCUCCACAGAGGUGGAAAGUACCACCUUCUGUGUAAGACAGCUCAGGAAGACAGAUCUGCACAGACGGAAUGGCCAGGAAGCCUGUGCCCUCCAAGUGCCUGGCAAGCCUGAUUCACGGAGGACCUACUUCAACAACCAGGACCGGCCGAUGCUCACCUUUGGGGGCCGGACCUGCGAAGAUUUAACAUACUUCCGCAAGUGACACAGAAGCAAACGCACGGACUGAACCUUCUGGGAAGUUUCCUAACAGAAGGCUGACCCAGCCAGGAGCCAGUGCUUCCAUCUGCUCUAUGGAGGUAUCUUCUGGAAGAGAUUUCUGACACAUCCGAUAGUGGGAUAUCAAAGCAAUUUUGUGUUACUUUUAAAGAAAUUUGAUUGUGAUCAACAAUAUCUAUGCACGUGAAAUAUUACGUGAGUAUGGAAGGAACCUCAUUUGACUUUUUGUGGGAUUUUCAGCAUCCUUGUGAGACAAUGUAGGACUAGCAAAUGGUUCUCAGUCUUUCUGGAGAAGCUGGUAGACACUAACUUGCAUCAAUGCGCAUAUCAAAUCAUUCAGUCUCACUCUUCAAAUAUGUAGAAUUAAGAUAAUUUUCAGCUAUUCCACCCAUAACAAUUGUUUUUAAAUUCAAAUCCAACAUUAAGAAGUUCAAAUCAUAUACCUACUCUGUUUUUAAAUUACUGAUGUGAAGUUAAAUUCUCUACCUUCCCAUUUUAGUCAAUAAACAUUUACUGAGCAUUUUCUGUUUUAGGGGCUGUGCUAGGCACUGGGGGGGAUGGUAUGACGGUAAAAAACUUCAAGCAGACAGACACUGAUCAGAGAAAUUAGUUCAACAUAAAAUUGCAGCUAUGAAGAAAAAUUGCUUAAUAUCAUGAGAAAAUACAAUCACAGCACACUUGGAAAAAAAUCAUUCAGCUGCAGUACAGAGAAAUGACAGGAAAGUGGUUAUAAGUGGAGGUGGGGCAAACAGCACAGAGGCUACUAGUAUUCUAGAAGCAAACAAGAUGAUGCGGGCUUGGACCAGCAUGGUGGUGGUGGGCAUGAAGCACAACUUGGUCUAAAAGAAUCAAAAAACCAUGUCAUAUUCUUUAGCCUGGUAUUCGGGUCCACCACAAACUAGCCUCUACUGAUCUUUCUCUGGACACUUUCUGCACUCUCCUGAGGCACUUGAGGCCUAAGCCUCGCUGAGGACAACUUAUUAUCAGCACACACCAAGUCAGUGCCCUUCACCAAACUGUUCCACUGGCUUGCUCCCUUCUCCCCUUUCUGGAUUGCCAGAUGCCGGGUAAAACGACCAUCUAUGGUCAGCGGCAGUUAAGUAGAUGACGACUAGACACCAACUCAGACUGGGAGCUUUGUAGCAAGUACUUUUUACAAGUUUUCUUAGUUUCAUCCAUGUUACUGCAACCGCCAUGAUUCUGUUCCUUUUCACUGCUGAACAGCGUUUCAUGGUCUGAAGACAUUAUGGCUUAUCCCUUUGUGGAAGGGCAUCUGGGCUGUUUCCAGAUUCUGGCUCUCAGAAAUAAAGUCACUUUCAACACUGUUAAAUAAAGCUUUUUCUCAGUACAUAUUCUUAUUUCUCUGGGAUAAAAUUAUUAGGAGUAGAAUUACUGCUAUAUAGGAUACAUAUAUUUUCAACAUUUUUAAAGAAACUGCCAAUCUUCUCAUCGUCAUGCUGCUCUAUUCAUGUAUGAAUUUUUUAGAUGCCCAAUAACCUUGUCAACAUUUGAUGUUGUUAAUUUUUAUUUUAGCCAUUCGAGUGCAAGUAUAGGAUAUCUCACUGAGGUUUUGAUCUGUAUUUGCACUUCCUCCAUGACCUAUGACUCCGACCACUUUUGCAUAUUCUUCAUGGCUGUUUGAAUAUCUACUUCUGUAAAAUUUCUGCUCUAGGUUUUCUUAUAAAAAUUGGGUUAUGUUUUUCUUGAUGAGUUGUAUAGUUUCUUUAUAUCGUAUAGAUAAAAGUCCUUUGUCAGAUGUAUGUGUUGCAAAGAUAUUUUCCUUGAGACUGUGGCUUAUUUUCUAAUG